UAGACUAGAUCUCCCAGAAACACUUGACUCACUUAUGUCUUUAACUAUAAAAAUAGACAGAAGAAUUAGGGAAAGGAAACAGGAAAGAUAUUCCCCAGACUCCUAUACCAAGGUUACCACCCCUAAAGCUUAUACACCCUCUCAUAAGAGUCAGGAUGAAGCCAUGGAGAUAGGGUUCAUUAGAGGACCCCUGUCCCCUGAGGAAAAGUCACGCAGAAAAGAACUGGGACUCUGCCUCUAUUGUGCCGCAAAGGAGCAUUCUGUUUCUGACUGUCCUUCUUUAAAGAUACAAAGAUCAGUGGGGACAAAACCGACACAGUCUUAAGGCCGUUUUGGAUUCAGGAGCCUACGCUAGUUAUAUAGAUAUAAAAGUUGUACAAGAAAAUAAAAUACCCAUUAUUGCAAAGAAAAAA